UACAGAGGGUGCAAGCGUUAAUCGAAAUUACUGGGCGUAAAGGGUGCGUAGGUGGUUUGAUAAGUUAGAUGUGAAAGUCCUGGGCUCAACCUGGGGAUUGCGUCUGAUACUGUCAGGCUAGAGUUCUGUAGAGGAAGGUGGAAUUUCCGGAGUAGCGGUGAAAUGCGUAGAUAUCGGAAGGAACAUCGGUGGCGAAAGCGGCCUUCUGGACCAGCACUGACACUGAGGCACGAAAGCGUGGGGAGCAAACAGG
rnacentral:rRNA from 1 species